rnacentral:rRNA from 1 species
GUAGCAAAAUCAUUUGUUUUUUAAUUGGGAACGGGUAUGAAUGGUUUAUUGGUUAAGAAUAUUUAAUUUAUUUUAAGUAAAAUUACAAUUUAUGUAAAAAUGCGUAAAUUAUUUAAAGGGACGACAAGACCCUAAAAUCUUUAUUGGUUAAUUAAUAAGCUAAAAUUUAUAUUAUUAUAGUUAUUUAAUAUUCAAUUUGGCUGGGGCAGUGGUUUUAUUUAAAUUAAUAUUUAUUUUUACUUAAAGGAUAUACGGUCUUUUAUAUAAGGAAAAUUUGAAAAAGUUACUUUAGGGGUAACAGCGUAAUUCUUUUGGAAAGUUCUUAUUUAUGAAGGAGGUUGCGACCUCGAUGUUGAAUUAAAAUUUCUUAGCGAAGGAGAAAGUGCUAUAGAGGGUUUGUUCAACCUUUAAUUUUUU